UACGUAGGGUGCGAGCGUUAAUCGGAAUUACUGGGCGUAAAGCGUGCGCAGGCGGUUUUGUAAGCCAGAUGUGAAAUCCCCGGGCUCAACCUGGGAAUGGCAUUUGGGACUGCAAGGCUCGAGUGCGGCAGAGGAGACUGGAAUUCCUGGUGUAGCAGUGAAAUGCGUAGAUAUCAGGAAGAACACCCGUGGCGAAGGCGGCUCUCUGGAACGCAACUGACGCUGAGACGCGAAAGCGUGGGGAGCAAACAGG
rnacentral:rRNA from 1 species